CCUACGGGCGGCAGCAGUGAGGCAUAUUGGUCAAUGGGCGCGAGCCUGAACCAGCCAAGUAGCGUGAAGGAUGACUGCCCUACGGGUUGUAAACUUCUUUUAUAAAGGAAUAAAGUGAGGCACGUGUGCCUUUUUGUAUUUACUUUAUGAAUAAGGAUCGGCUAACUCCGGGCCAGCAGUCCCGGUAAUACGGAGGAUCCGAGCGUUAUCCGGAUUUUUUGGGGUUAAAGGGAGCGUAGAUGGGUGGUUAAGUCAGUUGUGAAAGUUUGCGGCUCAACCGUAAAAUUGCAAUUGAUACUGGCAGUCUUGAGUACAGUUGAGGUAGGUGGAAUUCGAGGUGUAGCGGUGAAAUGCUUAGAUAUCACGAAGAACUCCGAGUGCGAAGGCAGCUUACUAAACUGCCACUGACAUUGAGGCUCGAAAGUGUGGGUAUCAAACAGGAUUAGAUACCCCAGUAGUC
rnacentral:rRNA from 1 species